UUACUACUCCCUCUGUUCGGAAUUACUUGUCUCGGAUAUGGAUGUAUCUAGAACUAAAAUACAUCUAGAUACAUCCAUUUCUGCAACAAGUAAUUCGAAACGGAGGGAGUAGUAU
rnacentral:pre_miRNA from 1 species